rnacentral:lncRNA from 1 species
GUGAGCCCCCGCAAUACUUCACAUCUGCGCGGAGUCCCGGGGAGGUCGAGGCCACCUGGGGUUGGGCCGUUGGACCUCUCCCUUUGCCCUUUGUCGCUACUUCCUCCUGCCCUAGGCUCGCGCGCCCUGUCUCUGUCACCCGUUCCAACGGUGUCUCACCACAGCCGGCUGGACGGUGUGUGCCUAGCGCGGAGAGCUGGCAGCCAGGAGACCUCCCCGAGGGUCCCAGUCCUCUCCAAGGAUCCCACAGCGCGCAAACUGCUCCUCGGGGGCACGUUCCUCAACAAGCCUCGCACCCGCCCGCCCCGCUCCGUUCCUGUCUGGUCUAAAUAACCCUCCCGGCCUGGUUCGGGCUGUUUACUGCAGUCGCGGGUCCUUAUCGCCCCUAUUUUACACUGCGGCUAAGAGGCUAAGCUAAGGUCUGGUCUGGCAGGCCCAGUGCUCCUCUCUGUGAGUCCUUGCCUUGGUGCGGUGUGUGUGUGUCUGACCUUCGGGUCUCAGAAGCCAUUGCUGUCUGCUUGCUCUUCCAAGUUGCUCCUCUCCUCAGGAACGGGCACAAUUCCUCCUCCAGGAUGCAAAAUGACUCUCUUCCGUUUGGCGCUUGAGCAGGCAGCCUCCUCUCCGAGGCCUGGGCCAUCCCGUCGCCACUAGAUCUUUGCCUAAAGGGGACACACCUGAAGAUCCUACAAAAGGAAGAGCAGAGAAGAGGAGAAAAAUAGCACAGGAUGGACCGUCAGAGAAGUGCUCCUCGCUGGCCCCCAUAGCAGUGAGAGGGGGCCUUCAGCAGGUAGGGCCCUGGACCCCGCAGGGGUGGUGCGGCCCUCACUUCCUUCCGGCGCAGUCCUGGGCCUCCAAGGGAAACCUCCAUUCCCAGCUCCCAGGAGACACCUUGAAUAAGAAAGUGAAAACAUCUUCUGAGCCCAUUUAUAACCGAGCAAAAAGGGGCUCCUGCUCGAUGCAGCCUGGUGCCAAUCAAUUGCAAAUAAGCCAGUGGUUGAGGAAAGAAUUUAUCUGAUUAGCUAAGCAUAAUCGGAAGAUGGUGGACUGGUGUCCUGAAGAAGCAUGCUCAAAUCAUACAGAAUCUUGAGGCAGUUAUAUAGGGGAAACCGACAGUGAAGGAGGGGGUUUGUGGGUGUUGACCAUCCCGUGUGACGAACUUCAAGGCGCCACAUUCUUUCUUUCUUCUGUCAUUUGUGAUGGGUACCAAUGCAGGAUUUUUCUUCCUGGAAGUCGUCAUGUUCCUGAGGAACUCAGAGAACAGUUAUUGUCUUACCACGGCUGGGAAAUAGACAUAAGCAAGAGUCAUAGAACUAUCAGAUCAUGUAUUCUGCAAAAGUGAGAGGUGCUUAAUCACCUAGGCUACAUGCAGGCGAGAACAUAUUCACAGAGACUAGUGAGGCAGGGCUGUAAUUCAAUAUUGCUUCCUUUCCCUAAGCUGGCUGCCCUCAUGCUGACUUAAGAUCUAGCUGUUACACAUUCACCAAAGGCCAUGUCAUCCCCAGCUCUUAAAGCCCUCCUGGAGGCCGCCCCUCUCUGUGGAGGACUGACCUGAAUGUAGGGGGCUGUGUGGCCCAUUCUCAACCUACCCCUGCUGCCAAAGAGGUGGACAAAGCAAAAGCUGGACGAAGGCCAUCCACCCAGCUCUCCAGCCUCACUGAAGUCAGAGGGGACACAGGGAACAAAGCUUCAGAUACUCCGUCAAGAAGGAACUUUCCGAAGCCAUCUGCCAGUUGUAGGCUCUGUAAACGAAAAUGUCUGCGCCCCUUGCUGCCGCCACUGCUAGUGUUUUGGGAGGAGAAAAGCUGCCUCCAUCUCCUGGGUUCCUUGCGUAGUCAUUGGUGAGGACCUAGGCUUGGAGGAGAAAGCUGAGCUCCAACGGAACCACGAGGUGUUGGAGGAUAAAACUGAGGCCACUUCAGACUGCAGUGCCAAUCAGCCUGCCUGUUCUUCCUUCCUGCCUGCUGCAGCACUGCAGAGACCCCUGCCACUUGCACCUUGCACAUCCCAGCUCCUGCCUUAUUACUGGACACUGACUUGGCUGACCUGCCUGCCAGGCCCCCAACCCUGUCUGCCCCUAUACCCAUCCCUGCACGAGAUAUUGAUCAUGAAACGAGAUGCCCAAAUUCUAACUCUCCUUUUGCUGUUCCUGCUGAAUCUCUUUUUCCCGUUAGGAUAAAUAGUAAUAAGAAUAAUAACAAUAAUAAUAAUAUGACCAACCACCCAAUAAAAAAUGGGCAAAACAUUUAAACAAUCCCUUUCCAAAAAGCGAUUCACAAAUGUUCACUAAGCCCUUUAAAAAAUGUUCAACACCAUUAGCCAUCAGGGAAAUUAAAAUUGAACCACAGUGAGAGAGACCAUUAUGCAACCACCAGAAAGGGUGAAGAUCGCAAGUCUGACAGCUCCAAAUGCUCGCUGGGAUGGGGAGCACCUGGAAGGCUUCUUGCUUCUAGUGAGAAGAUAAAAUGGUGCCGCUGCUAUGAAAGACAGUCACAGUUUCUCAUAAAACUAAACAUUCACCUACCCGGGAAAUACCUCUGGUGCCAAUCCGUAAGAGAAUAGAAAAACAAAUUGUGAAGUAUUCAUACUACUCAGCUAUCCAGGAAAGAAUCCCUGAUAAUGGGCAACAAUAGAGAUGAAUCGAAACAGCAUCUUACUAAUUAGAAGAGGCCUUACACCAGAAACAGUGCAUGCUGCAUGUCCCCACUUAUGUGGAAGGCCAGAACAGCCAAAUCUCACCUUUACGAGAAGAAUCCCUGAAGGAUUGUGAGGGGAGAGAUGGACUGAACCCAGAGUCACAGCUGGAUCACAGCAGAAGAUUAGCCCUGAGCUAACGUCUGCUGCCAAUCUUCCUCUUUUUGCUGAGGAAGACCGGCUCUGAGCUAACAUCCGUGCCCAUCUUCCUCAACUUUAUAUGUGGGAUGCCUACAACAGCAUGGCUCACCAAGUGGUGCCAUGUCCGCACCCGGGAUCCAAACCAGCGAACCCCAGGCCGUCAGAGCAGAAUAUGCACACUUAACUGCUGCACCACCAGGCGGGCCCCUCAAGUGUUUUUUUGACAAAGUUGUCAAGACAAUUCAAUGAUCUUGGGGUAGGGAAAAAUAAUUAGAUGGAAAACAGAAA